GCCGAGGUGGCAGAGCGGACAAAUCCAACGGGAGUCUUAACGCGGCAGGCUCGAGACCUGUUGUCCCUCUUGGGACGCUUGGGUUCAAAUCCCAACCUCGGCG
rnacentral:tRNA from 3 species